GCAGUCUUCAACCACCACCCGACCUGAGGGCACGACCGACCGACGAUCUCUCGCGGUGACCUCUCUCAAGUCCAAAAUAUAUUACAUCCGUGUCGUCUGUGUAGUUGUUGUUCUUGUUGCUGUCGUAGUAGUACUUGUGUCCCGCCUUCGUCCGUCGAAGUGGUGGAGUCUCGUGGCCGUUGAGUGUGUUGAUCAUGUGACCUCCUCCUCCUCGCAGUAGGAGGAAGAACACCUUUUCUCGUCUCCCCCCCACCCCCCAAAUCAUUCCCUUCUGCUGCUGCUCCUGUCAUCAUCUGGGCCGAGACCCCGCACCGACCGACCGACCGACCUUCUGAGGCCGUCUGUGUCGAGGAGAGAGUGCGUGUGUGUGCGUGUGCGUCCCGUCACGUCACGUCUUCUGUCGGCCCUCCUCCCCAACGUUUGAGACCACCUCCCAGAGAAGCUCCUCUCCCUGGGAAGCGCCGGACACUCGGCUAAGCUGCUGUUUUCUUCUUCUAUUUUUGGCAGGAAUGUCUUGAGAUUCCGUCCCAAUGAGUUACGGCUUUGUACAUGACCAGUCCCACAGG